GAUGAGCGCUGGCGGCGUGCUUAACACAUGCAAGUCGAACGGAAAGGCUCCUGCUUGCAGGGGUACUCGAGUGGCGAACGGGUGAGUAACACGUGGGUGUUCUGCCCUGCACUUCGGGAUAAGCCUGGGAAACUGGGUCUAAUACCGGAUAGGACGAUGGUUUGGAUGCCAUUGUGGAAAGUUUUUCGGUGUGGGAUGAGCUCGCGGCCUAUCAGCUUGUUGGUGGGGUAAUGGCCUACCAAGGCGUCGACGGGUAGCCGGCCUGAGAGGGUGUACGGCCACAUUGGGACUGAGAUACGGCCCAGACUCCUACGGGAGGCAGCAGUGGGGAAUAUUGCACAAUGGGCGCAAGCCUGAUGCAGCGACGCCGCGUGGGGGAUGACGGCCUUCGGGUUGUAAACUCCUUUCGCUAGGGACGAAGCGCAAGUGACGGUACCUGGAGAAGAAGCACCGGCUAACUACGUG
rnacentral:rRNA from 1 species